UGGCGUAGGGGUAACGCGCCCUAACUAGAAAUCAGGGAGUCGUGAGUUCGAUUCUCAC
rnacentral:tRNA from 1 species